GUGAACUGCGAAUGGCUCAUUAAAUCAGUUAUAGUUUAUUUGAUGGUGUUUCUUACUCGGAUAACCGUAGGAAAACUAGAGCUAAUACGUGCGUAAAUCCCGACUUCGGAAGGGACGUAUUUAUUAGAUAAGAGGCCGACCGGGCUUGUCCCGACCUUCGGUGAAUCAUGAUAACUUCACGAAUCGCAUGGUCCGGAACCCGCGAUGUUUCAUUCAAAUUUCUGCCCUACCAACUUUCGACGGUAGGGUAGUGCCCUACCGUGGUGGUAACGGGUGACGGAGGAUUAGGGUUCGAUUCCGGAGAGGGAGCCUGAGAAACGGCUACCACAUCCAAGGAAGGCAGCAGGCGCGCAAAUUACCCAAAUCCCAAUUCGGGGAGGUAGUGACAAGAAAUAACGAUGCUCCGGCCUCUGGUCGGGUAAUCGGAAUGAGAACAAUUUAAAUCCCUUAUCGAGGAUCAAUUGGAGGGCAAGUCUGGUGCCAGCAGCCGCGGUAAUUCCAGCUCCAAUAGCGUAUAUUUUAAGUUGCUGCGGGUAAAAAAGCUCGUAGUCGGAUUUCGGGUGGCGCCUACCGGCCGCCUUUGGUGAGUACUGGUAGGUACCUCCUUUCUGCCGAGGACGGGGUUCUGGGCUUAAUUGUCUGGGCCCCGGAGUCGGCGAUGUCACUUUGAGUAAAUUAGGGUGUUCAAAGCAGGCUUAUGCUCUGUAUACACUAGCAUGGGAUGACACGAUAGGACUUCGGUUUAUCUUGUCGGCCUGUAAAUCGGAGUAAUGAUAAAGAGGGAAAGCCGGGGGCAUUCGUAUUUCGUAAGCCAGAGGGGAAAUUCUUGGAUUUACGGAAAACGAACUUCUGCGAAAGCAUUUGCCAAGGAUGUUUUCAUUGAUCAAGAACGAAAGUCGGGGGCUCGAAGACGAUUAGAUACCGUCGUAGUCUCGACCAUAAACGAUGCCGACUAGGGAUCGGAGGUGGUUUUUUUAUGACCUCUCCGGCACCUUACGAGAAAUCAAAGUUUCUGGUUCCGGGGGGAGUAUGGUCGCAAGGCUGAAACUAAA
rnacentral:rRNA from 1 species